GACGAACGCUGGCGGCGUGCUUAACACAUGCAAGUCGAACGAUGAACCCGGAGCUUGCUCUGGGGGAUUAGUGGCGAACGGGUGAGUAACACGUGAGUAACCUGCCAUGGACUCUGGGAUAAGCGUUGGAAACGACGUCUAAUACCGGAUAGGACCUUGGAUCGCAUGAUCUGGGGUGGAAAGUUUUUUCGGUCUGGGAUGGACUCGCGGCCUAUCAGCUUGUUGGUGAGGUAAUGGCUCACCAAGGCGUCGACGGGUAGCCGGCCUGAGAGGGUGACCGGCCACACUGGGACUGAGACACGGCCCAGACUCCUACGGGAGGCAGCAGUGGGGAAUAUUGCACAAUUUGCGAAAUCCUGAUGCAGCAACUCCACGUGCGGGAUGACGGCCUUCGGGUUGUAAGCCUCUUUUAGUAGUGAAGAAGGGCAUCGGCUUGACGGUACCUGCAGAAAAAGGACCGGCUAACUACGUG
rnacentral:rRNA from 1 species